UACGUAGGGGGCUACGCGUUGUCCGGAAUCAUUGGGCGUAAAGAGCGUGUAGGCGGCUCGAUAAGUCCGCUGUGAAAGUCCAGGGCUCAACCCUGGGAUGCCGGUGGAUACUGUCGGGCUCGAGUCCGGAAGAGGCGAGUGGAAUUCCGUGGUGUAGCGGUGAAAUGCGCAGAUAUCAGGAGGAACACCAAUGGCGAAGGCAGCUCGCUGGGACGUGACUGACGCUGAGACGCGAAGCGUGGGAGCAAACAGG
rnacentral:rRNA from 1 species